rnacentral:rRNA from 1 species
GACGAACGCUGGCGGCGUGCCUAAUACAUGCAAGUCGAGCGGAGCUGAUGAGGUGCUUGCACCUCUGAUGCUUAGCGGCGGACGGGUGAGUAACACGUAGGUAACCUGCCUGUAAGACUGGGAUAACCCACGGAAACGUGAGCUAAUACCAGAUAGGCGAAACUCUCGCAUGGGAGAUUCGAGAAAGGCGGAGCAAUCUGCCACUUACAGAUGGACCUGCGGCGCAUUAGCUAGUUGGUAGGGUAACGGCCUACCAAGGCGACGAUGCGUAGCCGACCUGAGAGGGUGAUCGGCCACACUGGGACUGAGACUCGGCCCAGACUCCUACGGGAGGCAGCAGUAGGGAAUCUUCCGCAAUGGGCGAAAGCCUGACGGAGCAACGCCGCGUGAGUGAUGAAGGCCUUCGGGUCGUAAAGCUCUGUUGCCAAGGAAGAACAGCCGAGAGAGUAACUGCUCUCGGAAUGACGGUACUUGAGAAGAAAGCCCCGGCUAACUACGUGCCAGCCGCCGCCGUAAAAC